GUGCAACAGCAAACUAGAUCCAACUACGACCUCAUUCCUCAAGAUGGCUGAUGCUGGGGGAUGCCACAGCUGACUCAGCCCAGCAAACUGACAGAAGCGUUUAAGUACUUCAUUCAAGGCAUGGGAUACAUGGCGUCGUCCUGCAUGACGCGUCUCUCGCGCUCGCGCACCACCUCGCUUUCAUCCUCGUC